rnacentral:rRNA from 1 species
GACGAACGCUGGCGGCGUGCUUAACACAUGCAAGUCGAGGGCACUUUGGGGGCAACUCUGGAGUGACCGGCGAACGGGUGCGUAACACGUGAGCGACCUUGCCUCGUGGUGGGGGAUAGCCGGCCCAACGGCCGGGUAAUACCGCAUAUGGUGCUUCUCUCGCAUGGGAGAGGUAGCAAAGCCCUGGAGCAAUCCAGUGGCGCCACGAGGGGGGGCUCGCGGCCUAUCAGCUAGUUGGGGGGGUAAUGGCCCACCAAGGCGACGACGGGUAGCUGGUCUGAGAGGAUGGCCAGCCACAUUGGGACUGAGAGACGGCCAGACUCCUACGGGAGGCAGCAGGUGGGAAUCUUGCGCAAUGGCCGAAAGGCUGACGCAGCGACGCCGCGGUGGGGGAGGAAGGCC